rnacentral:lncRNA from 1 species
AAAGGGAUAAUGAUAAUGUUAUAUUUCCUAUAUUGUAGGAUUUGGGUUAAUCACAUAUUUCCAAUUCCUAGUUAGCGUAUGAUAUUCUCUUUGUAUAUAAACCCUUUGUGGGAUGAUGAAUAAAGUACACGUUCUAUUCAUAUUUUAUGGUAUCAGAGCCAAGAUCUCUAAGACCUAAUUUUUUUAACCUAAUUUUUCUACCCAUACUACCUUAACCAUCCAUACGAUGGAUGAUACACAUUCUACUACAUCACCAUCUACUACUACUACUCCUACGACACAUGCUAACGUCAUGGACGCAUCUCCUUACUACCUUGCU